GACGAACGCUGGCGGCGUGCUUAACACAUGCAAGUCGAACGGAAAGGCCCUGCUUUUGUGGGGUGCUCGAGUGGCGAACGGGUGAGUAACACGUGAGUAACCUGCCCUUGACUUUGGGAUAACUUCAGGAAACUGGGGCUAAUACCGGAUAGGAGCUCCUGCUGCAUGGUGGGGGUUGGAAAGUUUCGGCGGUUGGGGAUGGACUCGCGGCGUAUCAGCUUGUUGGUAGGGUAGUGGCUUAGCAAGGGUUUGACGGGUAGCUGGCCGGAGAGGGUGACCAGACACGAGGGGACUGAGGCACGGCCGAGACGCCGACGGGAGGGAGCAGUGGGGAAGAGGGGAGAAUGGGGGAAAGUCUGAUCCAGCAAUGCCGGGGGAGGGAGGAAGGCAUUAGGGGUGGAAAGCUCCGUGAACCGGGAUGAUAAUGACAGUACCGGGAGAAUAAGAGCCGGCUAACUCCGUG
rnacentral:rRNA from 1 species